UGUUGCAGGAAACUGAUAGCCAGCUGUGCCUGCUCCACUUUUUGGAGAACAACAAACUUGAAUCUCUCACUCCUUUCAGAUCCAGCUGUGCCACAUGGUCUGCUGAGCAUCCAACAGAAUUAACUUCAGGCAGAUAACUUUCAAUCCAUGGGAAAUGGACAUCGCCUUUUUGAGGAGAUGAUCUCCUUCAAGGGACCCAAAGAAAAGCUCAAGAUUAAGUGGACUAUACUCCUCCUUCCCCAACUAUCACCACUUGUAAAACCCACCGAGGAGACAGCAAAGGUAUAUAGAGUCCCUGAAAAUCUGCUGUUGCCAUUACCAUUCCUGACAUUCAAUUUAUUUGCUAAAACAGCCAGGAAAAGUAUACUUGAAAAGGUUGCAAGAACAUACUCAGGCAAGCUCACAUUUUGAAUUGAUACUCAUGUUGGUUUCUCUCUGAAAAGUACCUAUGCAUCUCACAAAAAUUUCAUUUCCAGAUACUAUUAGUACUAGCAAGAGUUAAAGACUGUUCUCCUGUCUUAAUUUAGAAGAUAUGCAAUUCUAUUAGUCUCAUGGACAAUGCCAUAACACAUGUAUUAUACACUUACUCGUCCCCUCCAAUUUCUCAAUCAAAGCCAUUCUGAAUCAAUUAAAUAUACUCCAAUACUGUGUGUGGUGCUGGCUCCAUUCUCCCCACCCCAAAGUGACAGAUGCCAGUCUUACACAGAGUACCACAACCUAAAACCAAGACUCUUCUCAGUUACACUGCUGCGAUCUCACUGAUGUCAGCAGGGUUGCACUGAAGUAACUGGAAAAAGAAUUUAGCACCUGGGGUUUAAGCUGCAGCAGUGAGAGUGCCUCCAUGUGCAGAACGUAUGUUUAGCACGUUUGAUUACUGGGAGAAAGCAAAGUCACCUGCCAUACACAUUUUGACUUAUGACUUUAAGAAAAUGUUUUUUAAGUCUCACGGUUAGGAGAGAAUGAGGGACACUAAAAGCUUAGCAGUUAAAAAAUGUGAAGGAAAUAACAUGAGAAAGCAAGAAAGGGAAAACAUUUCUUACCACCAGCAGGAUUAGCUGAUCUCGAUCCUUGAUUAUGAGGGCAGACCAAGGGACAGGCAAAAAGUGGAUUAAAAGACAGCAAGACAAUACUGCGUUCAGCAUGCGGUUUAUGCUAUACACAAUACAGACAGAUUUAUUUACAAACAUGUCACUCCUAAAGCCUCUGCAGAAUGCAGUGAGUUAAUGUGCAGAUGCAACUAAAUUUCCCAAGGUUGAUCAGUUACUUAGUAAAAUGUCAACCAAGACACUGAGACUCAAGUUCUGCUCUAAAUUACACCCCAGCCCAGUCUGAAAAAUUUCAGCAUGGUUACCCACUGUGUGGGUAUGGAGAAUUUGGUCCUGUGACUUAUAUUUGAAUUCAUAAAUUAUUUCAAGCAACUUGGCUUAAGGAUAAAGAACACAUCUGAUUGGGCUAGGCUGGAAAUGGGAUUCAGCAAACUAGACCAAGGCAGCAAGUUCAGAUAUGACCAUCCUAAAUUUUCAUAAGGCAUUCUAUAAAAAAAAAAAAGUAAGUUCAUAAUAUCUGAAACCUUCGGAUAUUUAACUAUUCUUUAAAUACUUCUGAGACUUGUCUCAUGCAGUCUGACCAUUUUUCACCAAACUAAGUUUAGGAAAAAAAGGGUAAUUUCUGGAUUUAGAUCAGUUUUAGGUUCAAAACUUAAGCAAUCAAUUUAUAUCAGCAUACCUAAGCCCAAAUAUAUCUUCGAGACCCCAAUGUAAAGAUUUUCAUUUGGCCCUAUUCUCAACAUACUACUGCUUUCUUCAGCUCUCUCAGCUUAACACAAGGUUACAAACUGCUUCUUCACCUCUCCAGCAUGACAGAGCAAAGCAAUGAGAGAAUGAACAGAGAAGGGCUUUUAAAUAAGGGUACAAAGCAAGACAAGUCCUCAGAACAGACAGAUCCUUCCACAAACCCCAUCUCCUCUUACCCACAAGGCUGAAGGUCCUCAAAACAAGGACUAGCCUUCUUCCUACCCCCAAUUCCUUUUAAAGUUUGAGUGACAAAAUUCUCCUUAGAUGCACAUGACAAACAUGCAGCAGGACCAUAUGUGUGGCUCCUAGGGGAAAGUCAUGCCUUGCCAGGAAGCCAGAGAGCGCAGAUGUGUCAUGUGAAUCAAAGCAGAACCCUUUUCCCCAUAUCUACACAAAAUAGGUAAUGUCCUAUUUUAAACUGAUGCCAAAUCCCGUUAAUUUUAGACAGCUCACGUGUCACACAUACAGAAAUAGAGUCACAUAAGCGGGAGAAGCUUGGCAGAGCAAGACCCCAGGACAGCAGUCAGCUACAGCCACAGGGGGUGUCUCAGCAGGACUCAGUGCCAGCUAUUUAGUUCUACAGAUGACAGCGACAUGAGAUUCUGCUGCACAACCAGUAAAUAAUGGUAGCAACUUAGCACUCGGAUUUGGGGCCCUCUCUGUCAGCAGGAGCACACACUGCCUACAUGGGGAUUCAUUUUAUUACAUGUCCAAACACUAUUAUCAGAAGUGAGCCCAAUUCUCAGCUGACGCUACUGCAGUUCAAGAGAAACGUAUUAAUAACUAUUUGUUCUGCUCCCCCAGGAAUAAAACAAUUCUUACGCUGGGACUGGGAAACUACUUUAGCCCGGCUGCGGCCUCGAGUAUCAGCAGGUGUCGAGGUGACACUUGUGGCACUGCCAGAGCUCUGUCUCCUCGUACGGAUCCGACCUGGAGGAAUGCAAAGACAAUCACACUGUUAAUAAAAGGCAGCAGCAGUGUCUAACACACUCUACACCCAAUUACCCAGGGUAUACAAAAGAAUUUUAUAGGAAGAGGCAACACCUUUUAUUGGGCUGGCUGAGACGCAGGGGAGGGAAUGAAAACAGCCACAGUCCAUGAGUCCAAAAACUUCUUUGCUCUCAGUAAUGCUAUCAGCCAGUUUAAUUAAAAAAUAUUACCUCUCUAUA